rnacentral:rRNA from 1 species
UACGGAGGGUGCAAGCGUUGUUCGGAUUUACUGGGCGUAAAGCGCGCGCAGGUGGGUGUGCAAGUCGGAAGUGAAAUCCCAGGGCUCAACCCUGGGGCUGCUCCCGAAACGGCACGCCUAGGGACUGGUAGAGGCUGGUAGAAUUCCCGGUGUAGCGGUGGAAUGCGUAGAGAUCGGGAAGAAUACCUGUGGCGAAGGCGGCCAGCUGGGCCAGAUCCGACACUGAGGCGCGGAAAGCGUGGGGAGCAAACAGG